rnacentral:misc_RNA from 1 species
UUCUUUAUCAUUUCCAUGAUAGCUUCAUGAAGCUUUUGCGGGUCAGAUAUAGACUUGGACACAGUCUCCUUUUCCAAGCAUCUCCCAGCCCAUUCCACAAUCCCAGGGCAAUCCACUGUCAUACUAAAGUUUCCCAGACUCUCGUACGUAUAAAACAUGCUAUAGAAAGGGAUAAGUGCCAUAUCUACGUAACCAAAGCUCUCCCCUGCAAAAAAUGUCUUGUUUCCAAGCUCCUUUUCCAAUGUUUGAAAGCUUUGAAUCAGGUUCUUCGUGUAUGUUUCUUUCACUUCUCCUUCAGAUGUCCACAGCAUCCUUCCAUUCGGGUAAAACUUCUUGUCAAUAUAGUCAGCCCAGAACCUGGCAUGAGCUCGUUGAUAAGGAUCAGAUGGCAAUAGCGGAGCUCUAUCAUUCCAGACCUCAUCAAUAUAUUGGAUAAUGAUCAUGGAUUCGCAUAUGGGUUUUCCAUUAUGGAUCAAGACAGGGAUUUGCUUAUGAACAGGGUUCAUCUCAAGAAGAAGAGGGCUUUUGUUGUUCAAGUCUUCUUCCUUUAACUCAUACUUUACUCGCUNNNNNNNNAUCUUCACCCUUUCUCCAAAACGAGUAACCUGGGCAGCCAGCAGAACUACUUCCUCAUCUGCCAUUUUUUACACUCGCUACUCCAUCAACUGAUAAUCAAC